CCUACGGGGGGCAGCAGUGGGGAAUAUUGCACAAUGGGCGCAAGCCUGAUGCAGCCAUGCCGCGUGUGUGAAGAAGGCCUUCGGGUUGUAAAGCACUUUCAGCGGGGAGGAAGGCGGUGAGGUUAAUAACCUCAUCGAUUGACGUUACCCGCAGAAGAAGCACCGGCUAACUCCGUGCCAGCAGCCGCGGUAAUACGGAGGGUGCAAGCGUUAAUCGGAAUUACUGGGCGUAAAGCGCACGCAGGCGGUCUGUCAAGUCGGAUGUGAAAUCCCCGGGCUCAACCUGGGAACUGCAUUCGAAACUGGCAGGCUAGAGUCUUGUAGAGGGGGGUAGAAUUCCAGGGGUAGCGGUGAAAUGCGUAGAGAUCUGGAGGAAUACCGGUGGCGAAGGCGGCCCCCUGGACAAAGACUGACGCUCAGGUGCGAAAGCGUGGGGAGCAAACAGGAUUAGAUACCCCGUAGUC
rnacentral:rRNA from 1 species